rfam:Candidatus Endomicrobium trichonymphae strain CET450 CET450_Contig2233, whole genome shotgun sequence.
GCGGGAGUAGCAUAAUGGUAGUGCUCCAGCCUUCCAAGCUGUCCACGCGGGUUCGAUUCCCGUCUCCCGCU